rnacentral:rRNA from 1 species
GACGAACGCUGGCGGCGUGCUUAACACAUGCAAGUCGAGCGGAAAGGCCUCUUCGGGGGUACUCGAGCGGCGAACGGGUGAGUAACACGUGAGUAAUCUGCCUCUGGCUUCGGGAUAGCCACCGGAAACGGUGAUUAAUACCGGAUACGACACAUCACUGCAUGGUGCGUGUGUGGAAAGUUUUUUCGGCCAGGGAUGUGCUCGCGGCCUAUCAGCUUGUUGGUGGGGUAAUGGCCUACCAAGGCUUCGACGGGUAGCCGGCCUGAGAGGGUGACCGGCCACACUGGGACUGAGACACGGCCCAGACUCCUACGGGAGGCAGCAGUGGGGAAUAUUGGACAAUGGGCGGAAGCCUGAUCCAGCAACGCCGCGUGAGGGAUGACGGCCUUCGGGUUGUAAACCUCUUUCAGCACAGACGAAGCGCAAGUGACGGUAUGUGCAGAAGAAGGACCGGCCAACUACGUGCCAGCAGCCGCCGUAAAAC